UCGGCUCCGGUUCACGUUUGCCGUAUCCCGCGGCAGCGACCCGGCGCC
rfam:Streptomyces griseoruber strain DSM 40281 genomic scaffold PRJNA299232_s025, whole genome shotgun sequence.